GACGUAGGGCGCGAGCGUUGUCCGGAUUUAUUGGGCGUAAAGAGCUCGUAGGCGGCUUGUCGCGUCGUUCGUGAAAACUUGGGGCUCAACCCCAAGCUUGCGGUCGAUACGGGCAGGCUAGAGUUCGGUAGGGGAGACUGGAAUUCCUGGUGUAGCGGUGAAAUGCGUAGAGAUCAUGAGGAAGACCAGUGGCGAAGGCGGGUCUCUGGACAGUUCCUGACGCUGAGGCACGAAGGCCAGGGGAGCAAACGGG
rnacentral:rRNA from 1 species